UGUCGAUAAAAUGAUCAUCAAAUAAAUUUUACUAUCAGAUUUUGAUCAUUGAUCAAAUUCGUAGAUAAAUAUCAUGAUUUAAUCUUCUUCCUCUUUCUCAUCUUAUUUUCUUUUUAUUUUUCCUCUUCUUCUUUCUCCUUCUCCUCACCUCCUCCUUUCUCUUCUCUUUCUCCUUCUUCACCUUCUCCUCUAACUCUAGUCACCACCUUACACCUAUUGACUUUGACUUCUCCUCCUUCUCUUCAUUCGUUUCUUCGUAUUUUUUCUCUUCUUAC
rnacentral:lncRNA from 1 species